rnacentral:rRNA from 1 species
UACGGAGGGUGCAAGCGUUAUCCGGAUUCACUGGGUUUAAAGUGUGCGUAGGCGGGUAUGUAAGUCAGUGGUGAAAUCCUGGAGCUUAACUCCAGAACUGCCAUUGAUACUAUAUAUCUUGAAUAUUGUGGAGGUUUGCGGAAUAUGUCAUGUAGCGGUGAAAUGCUUAGAUAUGACAUAGAACACCUAUUGCGAAGGCAGCAGGCUACACAUAUAUUGACGCUGAGGCACGAAAGCGUGGGGAUCAAACAGG